UCAUUGGGAGAAAAACACUAUAUAUAGAAAUACCUAAAAUAUGAGUUUCAACAUGGAAAAUCUUGAUACAGAAGUGUAAAAAUAGGCAUUGGGGAAGGUAAGCGAAGAGGUCAAUUUAUCCUCUAGACAACGUCACAAAUAUAAGACAACUAUGGCUAGCUGCCGUGAUUUUGUUCCAUUAUCAAGGGAAAAUCAAAUUCUAAUAAAUUAAAUAUUUCCUCUUAUUUUCAUAACUUAAUUUAAAAUUUUUAAGCAUUCAGAAUCUACCUUAUGUUCUGAUUUAUCUCUUUCCAUUCUCUAUUUAGUUUCUCCAAAGUGGCCCCACUAGUUGAAGCCAGGAUUAUGAUCUAGGCUUUUCUAUAAUGAAGUAAGAAUAAUAUCAUCAUUCAACACCAUCAAAGCAUGCCCUUGAAGGGGACUGUGGGACCCUGAUCUCUUCUUAUCCCUCUUUUUUGGUUCUUGACUCAUGAGGUAAGCAUUUUGUUUUACUACAUGUUUUUACUAUAAUGUGUUGUCCUUGUGAGAGACCCAAAUUGAUGGGGCCACUUAAAUUUUGAACUAGAAUCUACCGAACAGGAAUCCAAAAUAAAAUUUUUUCCUUUAUAGUUUACUUCCCUUAGGUGUUUCAGUAUAAUAACAUAAAAAUAACAUAAUAUCCUUUCAUAGUGACUUUUGUAUUGCUAGAAAAUGAAAACAAGACAAAGUAAAAUAGAAGCAACUGUACUAUUAAGAAAAAAAAAGAUGAUUAGGAAGAAUAUAAAUCAAGAUAAUUCCUAGGUUCUUGAGCAAAAUUUUCCCAAA